GGAGCCGGAAGCCCUGCCGUGUUGCAGUUUGAAGCACCCGUGGGUGUGUGCAGAGAUUAAUCCACUCCGUCGGGAGAAAGAGCGCCUGUUUGGUGGAUAGGAGAGUCUCGGGGCCUCUUGGUAGAGACCCCUACGACCAAGCAACGAUUGCCAAGGAGGAGGUGAAAGAAGAGGAGCCCCAGCCCUUUCAGAAGAUCAGUCCAAGUACGAUUGACCGAGUUUGCAACUUAAGUCAUUAACUAGCUUUCAGCGUUUCAGAGCUGAGGUUUCAGGCCCAAGCCAGGGAUGGAGCGUUUCUGGCAAAGGCAGGAAGCUCUCACUAGUCCAACAGAAAGAGCACAUUCUUUGCCCGUGCAGGACCCGGACUCCAUUCCUCUGGGCACGGCUGGUGACGUCGGAAAAUCUUCCUCGGAUGUAUCUUUCACCGGGGUUUGUUUAAGGAGCACCGAUAGCAACCGCUAGGUUUUCCAAGGCGUAGCAGGCAGAAUAACUCCCAGGAUGCCCGAAAGCCGCUCGGUAUCAGGUCUGCUCGUCGGUCCAUCUGUCCCACGACUAUCGGCACGGACCGGCUGCAGGGCUCUGAACAUCCGUUCAAGCAGAGGGGUUUUUCCCAGCCCUUCCCUGGAAACGCAGGGGUGAACCCGGACCUUUUGCACGCAAAGCAACAGCUCGAACUCGGACUGCGGCCAUCCGUCAGGAGACAAGCAACCUGCUUGCAAAUAGCACUCCUAAGUAAACCAAAAAAUUAAUCUUCCACGUUUGACAUAGAGAAGAAACAAACACGGUUGAGUCGGGGAAUUAUAAAAUUAUUCUCGCUUAACGUUA